rnacentral:rRNA from 1 species
UACGAGUGCCCCGAGCGUUAUCCGGAAUCAUUGGGCGUAAAGGGUGUGUAGGUGGUCAUAUUAGUCUUCUGUUAAAUUCUUCGGCUUAACCGGGGGCAUGCAGGGGAAACGGUAUGACUAGAGGAUGCGAGAGGUGUGUGGAACUCUAAGUGUAGGGGUGAAAUCCGUUGAUAUUUAGGGAAACACCAAAAGCGAAGGCAGCACACUGGCGCAUUCCUGACACUGAGACACUAAAGCGUGGGUAGCGAAUGGG